GGCCUGGUGGCGUAAUGGUAACGCGUCGCUUUCCGGUGCUCUCAUCGAAUAUAGCGAAGACUGCGGGUUCGAGUCCCGUCUGGGUCG